rnacentral:misc_RNA from 1 species
GCAUUUUACCACCAACAUUGUCAAAAUAUACAUCAAUUCCAUUCGGAAAAUAUUUGGUUAAUGCAGCAUCAUAAUCUGUCUCAAUACGGUAAUUAAAAGCUUCAUCAUACCCACACUCCUCUUUCAACAACUUGACCUUAUGAUCGGAGCCUACACUUCCGACAACUCGACAACCUUUAACUUUAGCUAGCUGUCCAGCUAUGAUUCCAACUCCUCCUGCUGCAGCCGAUAUAUAAACAUUUGAUCCCUCUUUAGCAUUUCCAAUUUUUUCUAUGCCCACCCACGCUGUUAUUCCAGGCAUUCCUAAGCAACUAAGAU